rnacentral:rRNA from 1 species
UACGUAGGUGGCAAGCGUUGUCCGGAUUUACUGGGCGUAAAGGAUGCGUAGGCGGACAUUUAAGUCAGAUGUGAAAUACCCGAGCUUAACUUGGGUGCUGCAUUUGAAACUGGGUGUCUAGAGUGCAGGAGAGGUAAGUGGAAUUCCUAGUGUAGCGGUGAAAUGCGUAGAGAUUAGGAAGAACACCAGUGGCGAAGGCGACUUACUGGACUGUAACUGAUGCUGAGGCAUGAAAGCGUGGGGAGCAAACAGG